UUUGCUGAAGAUCUAAAAAGCAUUUGAAUCUUACAACGGCUAUAUUUCGGUUCAGCGACUUCAGCCUAAAUGUAUGAGCAUGGGAGGAGAGAGAGAGAUGCAGAGGCGAGGGAAAGAGAGAGAGAGAAGUCAUCGACGAAUCAGCGGUAAGGUGAUGAAACCGACCGCGAGCCAUCCCCUCUCUCCAGUGACGGAAAACGGGUCUUCUUUUUCUCCGAUUUCAUUUUCUUAUGUUUUUCUGUUUCUUUAAAUUUGAACCGAGGGAGAGAAGCAGAGAGCAGGAGCGGGGAGAGUGCUGGGGAGAAAGAGGUGCAGAGAGAGUGACGGGAUGGGGGAGAGAGAGAGAUGCAGAGGCGACGGCGACAGAGAGACAAGGCAUUGACGAAGCAGCAGUAAGGUGAUCAAACCCACCGCGAGCCACUCCCUUUCUCUCAGGAGUGGGGGAGAGUGCUGGGGAGAAAGCGGUGCAGAGAGAGUGACGGGAUGGGAGAAACAGAGAGAAAAAGGCUACGAUGAAACCUCCGAGGUGACGAGAACCACAGCCCUGGCUGAACCCAUCCCCUUUUUCCACUGGAUGAAAACUGAUCUUCUUGCUUUUCUGAGUCACCGCCCUGGCUGAACCCAUCGGUCGCUGCUUGAAAAUUGCAGGCCGGGUAAUCUCUCAAACGUACGUUCAGAAUUUCACCAUGAAUUAGGGUUUGCAGUUUUCAGUUUUCCGUCCCUUAUUCUUUCCCACCAAGUAAUCGAUCUCAUAAACUAGGGCAAAAAUCUAGCGGUCUGCCUUUUGACUGACACUUACAACAAGGAAUGAUUCUUGGAGAUGACCUUUUCAUGUUGAUGGAAACUUGGAAAUCAGUAUAGUGUGGAUUUUUGUAUUCUAAAAAUCAUAUCAAUUGGAUACUCCACAGGGACCUUAAAUCAGAAAAUCUACUACUCAGGGAAGUAUGUGUCUGCAGGUAGCUGAUUUUGGGAUCUCAUGCUUAGAAUCUGAGUGUGGCGGUGGAAAGGGGUUUACAUAUACAUACCUCUGGAUGGCACUGGAAAUGAUAAAUUUUUUUAUCCCGAACAUUUGAAGCCUUCUUUAUAAGUAAACAGUUUGUUUUGUAAAAUCUGUAGAAAAUGUUUUCUCACUAGUUGCAUUGUCCCUCUGGAAAUUGGAUGGGGGGAACAUUCUGUCCACCUGAUACAGUAUGCCCUUUAUUUUUUCUUUCCUUCUAUCAACCCAAACAAGGAAAUUUUUUCUGAAGAAACCGGUCAUUGUCUUCUCUUUUUUCUCUGUGACCUAUCUUGUAGGCAUCAGACAUGGAGAAAGAAGACUCUACCAAGAUGGAUCAGUGACACUGAGCUUAUAAACUAAAAAGGUUUUGAAAAUAGAAUAAAAAUCAUUGACUUGUAGUCCUAGAAAGUACUUUAAACUAAUCUGUGAAAAUGUGGAUUCUCUUACAAAAGUCAACUAGUAUAGUUAUGGGGAGCGAUUUCCUUGCUUCUGAUUUUUCUUGUUUUCUUUCCUCAUUCCUGAAUUCUUUAAUCACCAAGACUGAAAACUCUUAAAUGAAAAUAAGGGCUGGUGGUUUGAAGGGAAUACUUGUAUUUAUUCAAACAACAUAGAAAAUGUCAAAAUCUGAUUAGUGGA